GACGAACGCUGGCGGCGUGCUUAACACAUGCAAGUCGAACGGAAAGGCCCAGCUUGCUGGGUGCUCGAGUGGCGAACGGGUGAGUAACACGUGGGUGAUCUGCCUCUAACUUCGGGAUAAGCUUGGGAAACUGGGUCUAAUACCGGAUAGGACAAUCGUUUAGUGUCGGUUGUGGAAAGUUUUUUCGGUUAGGGAUGAGCCCGCGGCCUAUCAGCUUGUUGGUGGGGUAAUGGCCUACCAAGGCGUCGACGGGUAGCCGGCCUGAGAGGGUGGACGGCCACAUUGGGACUGAGAUACGGCCCAGACUCCUACGGGAGGCAGCAGUGGGGAAUAUUGCACAAUGGGCGCAAGCCUGAUGCAGCGACGCCGCGUGGGGGAUGACGGCCUUCGGGUUGUAAACCUCUUUCGACAGGGACGAAGCUUUGGUGACGGUACCUGUAUAAGAAGCACCGGCUAACUACGU
rnacentral:rRNA from 1 species